UGAGUAACCUGCCCUUAACUCUGGGAUAAGCCUGGGAAACUGGGUCUAAUACCGGAUAUGACUCCUCAUCGCAUGGUGGGGGGUGGAAAGCUUUAUUGUGGUUUUGGGUGGACUCGCGGCCUAUCAGCUUGUUGGUGAGGUAAUGGCUCACCAAGGCGACGACGGGUAGCCGGCCUGAGAGGGUGACCGGCCACACUGGGACUGAGACACGGCCCAGACCUCCGUACGGGAGGCAG
rnacentral:rRNA from 1 species